GCAAUCCUAUAUCCACAGUUGGUUAGAAUGUGGUGCUGAUAACGCCAAGGUUGCAGGUUCGAUUCCCAUAUGGGGCAGCUGCA